CCCUUUUUCCGUGGACUAACAAACGCAGUUUCAACCAAAACCCUAAAACCCUCGGCACUAUCUGAGCCACCCCUUGUGCCCAAUUCUCUUCAUCCUCUCCGUCACAUUUCAGUUCCUAACCCUAACCCUAGAGAUGAGAAAUCAUCCAUGGCGGCGUCUGCUUCUUUUCGGUUCGCACUAUCAGUCUCAGCAACUUCACAUUUCCAGAAACUUCUAUAUUCAAUUGCACGCGCACCUCAGUGGCCCUACUCCCAUUCGACAUUUCUCUUCACUCCUAGUCUCACGUUCACUCUUCGUCUCCGAAAUUCGAGACCUCAGAAGCCCUAGGUUCCGCUGCUUCUCCUCGUCAGAGCUCGCUAUCGAGGACAAAGACUCGGAUCACGUCGCCGUAUUGACCGAUAUCUUCUCCAAGCAUCCAGCAAUUGUCGACGAGAUCAAGCUCGAGUUGGAUUCCAGUAACGUAGUUAUUACCCACGAGCUGGUGUUGAAGGUUCUGCAAAGUCUCGGUACGGCCCCCGAUGUUGCUCGGACGUUCUUCGAUUGGGUUUCCAAAAGCGAAGGGGAGCGACUGAGCUCCAAGUCGUAUAAUUUGAUGCUGCGCAUACUUGGAUCAAAUGGGCACGUGAAGGAGUUCUGGGAUUUGGUUGAGAUCAUGAAGACGAAAGGUUAUGGAGUGUCCAAGGGAACACACACCAUGGUUUUGGAGAAGUUUGAGAAAGAAGGAUUGGAUGCCGAUUUGGAUAAGUUGAAAGAAUUGUAUACUUCCGGAUCAGUAGAUAAUUCGGUUGAGAAGGUAUGUUCGAGGGUUUGUAAGGUGAUUAGGCGGCAAGUAUGGGGAGAUGAUGUUGAAAAGUGCCUACGCGAACUGAAGAUUGAGUAUUCGAGUGAUUUGGUUGUGAUGGUUUUGCGAAAUCUUGGAACAGAACCUAAUAAGGCAAUGAUGUUUUUCCGGUGGGUUCAUGAGAGCAAUCUAUUUGAGCACGAUGAGCGGAGUUUCAAUGCUAUGGCGAGGGUGUUGGGCAGAGAGGACUGCAUUGAGGAGUUAUGGAAGGUGUUGGAUGAACUGAGGGGUGCUGGGUUUGAAAUGGAGAUGGAGACCUAUAUUGAAAUUUUGGGAAGUUUUGUUAAGAGGAAUAUGAUAAAGGAUGCGGUGAAUUUGUACGAGUUUGGGAUGACUAGUGCAAACAGGCCCACUGUCCGGGAUUGUACCUUUCUUUUGAGAAAAGUAGCGACUAGUAGGGAACUGGAUGUGAAUUUGUUUCUGAGAGUUGUAAAGGCUUUUACAGAGGGCGGUGACAUGUUACCAAGCUUAACCAUUGAUGCAGUUAUCAAGUCUUUAACCAGUGUUGGUAGAUUUGGAGAAUGCAAUAGGAUCUUGAAAGCCAUGGAGAAAAGUGGUUUCUUACCUAGUGAUAUAUUGCAGAGUAAAAUUGCCUUUUGGCUUAGCAGUAAUCGGAAAGCGGAAGAAGCUAGUGAGUUUCUAGAUAAUAUGGAGGCAUCUAGGGGUAACUUGAGUUAUAAAACAUGGAUAUCUUUAGUUGAAGGGCACUGUGUUGCUGGUGACCUGGAUGAAGCUGCUGAUUGUUUUCAAAGAAUGGUUCAAAAGGAAGGGGUCUCUUCUGCUGGCUAUGCUUUAGAGUUGUUGGUUAAGGCUUAUUGCGUUAGGAGCAGAGCAAUAGAUGUGUGCAAGCUUCUGACUGAUAUGGUCAAUGAAAAAGAGUUGAAACCCUCUCAUCGUGCAUACAAGGUAUUGAUAAACAAGUUAUUGGUUCAGAGUGGGUUUAAAGAAGCUUUAAGCCUUUUAGGGUUGAUGAAAAGUCAAGGUUACCCACCGUAUUUGGAUCCAUUUGUGGAGUAUGUUUCAAAGAUUGGAACUGCCGAGGAGGCUAUGAUGUUUCUUCAGGCGAUAACUGUGAAACGGUUUCCAUCUACAGCUGUGUUUCUUCGUGUCUUUGAAGCAUACCUGAAUGCUGGAAGGCACGAUGAAGCCCAGAAUCUCCUUUCUAUAUGUCCGGGUUACAUUCGGAACCAUGCUGAUGUUUUGAAUCUCUUCUUUAUCAUGAAACUUAAACCUGCUGAAGCCGCUUCUGUGGCUGCUUAAAAUUCAGACAGUUGUCAGCCACAUCUCAAGCAGCAUUGUACUCAUACUAGAAGUUUGCUAUUCAAUUGGCUGAAGCUCUACGUGUGAAAUUAGGGAAAGGGGAAGGUGAACCCAUAGUGGUUGCAAGGGGAGCUAAAAUAGAGACUGUGGAAACAAAGGGCUGGCCCUGGCCCAUCGACUUCUAACACGGCAAUUGCUGACUGGGAAGAGGGCUAUGGAGCCCUAUAUGCCAGGUGAACCCUUGCUCCAAUGCUAGUAUGGGACUUGCAAGCCCAAAGGCAACCAAGUCUUUUUUCCCGAGUAAGAAAUUGGGGAAGGGGGAAGUUGAGCUCACAGAGCAGUUGCGAAUGGAGCUGAAUAGAAGCCACGUGGACACAUUUGUUACACUUUUUUUACCACUGGCUUUGUAAACAUCAAUUGACCACAAAAUGAUUUAUUGUGUAGGGUAUUUAAUUGUGGCUACCUUUCUGCCAUUGUACCCUUGUUUAUUAGAGGCUUCGUACUGCUUAUUUUUCCCCUUCAUAAUUUAUGCUUUCU